UUUCCGUAGGUGAACCUGCGGAAGGAUCAUUAUCGUACAAAAUGUAAACGGCCUGCGAGGGCUGUAGCUGACCCACCAGUCGUGCGCUCCCCAGAGUGUCCUGUUGGCUUAUAAUCCAUAUCACCUUUGGUGCAUCACCGGGUGGGCACCCUUCGGGCUCAUCUCCGAGGGGGGCUCGCGUUUGCACACAAACCCCCCUUUUAAAAGUGUAGAAUGACCACAUUUAUGCAAUCAAUACAACUUUCAACAACGGAUCUCUUGGCUCUC
rnacentral:misc_RNA from 1 species